UUUGCCUCAGAAAGCUUCCUACCAGUCUUUCGUCUAGAUUUUACGCUUUCACAGUUCAACUGCUUCGAAUCAUGUAUGUUACUGAAAUGUCUCCUGGCCAACCAACCACGGAUUACUGCAGUGGAGGAAAACAUGAUUAUGAGAAAAGAA